rnacentral:rRNA from 1 species
CCUACGGGAGGCACCAGUGAGGAAUCUUGCCCAAUGGGGGAAACCCUGACGCAGCGACGCCGUGUGAGUGAAGAAGGCCUUUGGGUCGUAAAGCUCUGUCAAGUGGGAAUAAAGUCUCUCGGUGAAUACCCGAGGGAUUUGAAG